AUAGAGCGUUGUGGGCCGGCUCUGCUGUAGCCCCUCCCCUGUGGGUGUGAGUCUGUGUCUAUCCCAACGGUGUCCCUAGGCCCGGCUCUUAUUUUCCCUUACUGGCGGGCCGAUUCCCGGGCUUGAUGGGACACUGCGGCACGGCUUGUGAGAAAGCGGAGGGACACACACACACACACACAUACGCUACACGCAGCGAAAUGAUGAGGACCCGUUUACCUCAGUUUUGGGUUUUUGGUGAGAUAUUUUCGUAACCAUGGAAGUCUCUCUAGAAGUCCUUGUAUCUACCAACAUCAAGAGGAAGAAGCCUACCCCAAGGCUCUGUUGGCUGGGAAAACAAAAAGAAGCAGUCUUUCUUCAUGAUGAAAAGUAUCUAAGUGAGAUCAGCCUCCGGUCAGGCCGAGUGAAGAAGUCCCCACCUCGACUGCAGGCUGUUCUCAAGAAGAAGAGCAUUGUUACUCUCAGUGCUUCACUUAAUGGGAUCUAUGUCACAGGCUUGCUUUUAACUGGGGAAUUAUUUAUUUGGAACAAAGAUCAGGAUAGCCUCCAAACAAUCCCAGCUAACGAAGAGAUAACCCGCCUAAUUUCAGCAGUGCAAGAACUUUCCUUGAAGGUCCAUCUGUUUAUAUCGGGAGAUGGCAAGAAAGUGCUUCUUGUUACCCUCACUGGUUCUGUAUUCCUGUGGGAAAGCUCUGAAAGGGACGCCUUACUCAAUUCUCCCAAAUGUCCAACCUUAAGUAGAUGGACAAAGAUUCUACCCGGGGACUCUGUUCUGCUCCCCAGCACAACGGAUAAGGAAGCUACAGUGACUGCAGCUUUUGUGAAGAAUGAGAUUCUUGGUGAUUGCCUUCUGUGUUCAUUUGCCUUUUAUUCUGGGCAGCGGCUCGUGAUGACAUUCCUAACAUUACGCUGGUAUGAAGAUGAUCAGCGGUAUAUUAGUUCCAUUCCGUACCGGAUCCAUUGGGCCAAACAGGAGUGCUCUGUCCGGAACCUUGUCCCCUCAUGUCAACCAGUGAAAUCAAGAGGAGCCCUGUUAUCAACAUUUUCCCGGGAUGGUCUAGUUCUAUCCGUGGCCGUUAAUCAGAGGGACCCUAAGGACACCCAUAUCUUGUUUAUCAAUUCAAUGAAUUUUACCACCAUUUCUGGGCAUUUGAGGGGCUGCAGUAGCAAGGAUCAGAAUAUUCCAUCCAGACUUUUAAGGUCCUACUGGGUGGGGGAUAUGUGCUGGACAGCAGAUAGCCUUUAUCUGGCUUGUUUGUUAAAACGGGGAACCCUUGUCUUGCUGACUCGAUUGGGGGAGAUCCUGACAUUGACAACUUUUGGCUGUUCUGUUGAGUUUGGACCUGCAGAGUUCAUUCCACUUCACCCCUUGAUCACGUACAGAUCUCCAUGGACCAUGCUGGAUUCCCAGGAUGCCGAUAAUUCUCUCGGUUCCUCUGCGUCAGAUGGUGACCUCAUGAGACAGAGAUAUUCCAUCACAUGCCACCCACGAUUGCCCUACCUCAUUGUUUCAGAUGGAUACAUGGUUACUGCACUUCGAUUUGCAAAUAAUCUUACUCCUCAUUCCUUUGUCAAGUCACUACUGCUAGAUUCUGCUCAAAGACUGGAAAGUGUAAGGCAAUCUAUGGAGCUAGGGAAGGCAAAAAACAAUGGCAUUAAACUAAGGCCACUGUCUUCUUUAAAAGCACAUUUGUUGAAAGAUCAUGGAACUACACACACUGUAACAGCUACUAUUCCUGGCUUUCUGCAAGCAGAGGAGGAAACCUUGCAAUCUGUUGAUUUAUCAACAAUACAGGAUGAGGAAGAGGAGUCAGAUGAGGAUUUCCCAAGGUAUCCCGCUCACUGUGAUUCCUUUGGACAUGCUGAGCAGGGCAAGCUCGAGUUUGCCUCUAUGUUUGACACCCUCCAUGCCAGGGAAAGGGGUGAAGGACAGAAUGCCAUAUCCAGUGAAAUUCAUCUUAUUCAGAGAGCCCUGCUCACAGCUUGGACAGUGUGUGUGACCAUAAGGCGCCUUGAGGAGAAGGAUUCCUUGUUACAAUAUACAGUCGCGUGCCUAACACAUUUCUUGUCUGUUCUUCAGAGUUUCUGUUAUAAUUCUGGAAAAUCUAAUACAUUAUCAAAAAGGAAGGAAAAUGUGUGGAUUCUGUUCCUCCAUGUUUUGCAGCAGUGCCUGACAGUUUUGUAUUGGGAUGUGACCUCACCGCAGGCGGUUAAACACAUCAUCAAACUUACUGCUGAAACCAUCAAGAUGAUCCUUGUGCAGCACGAGCAGCUCUAUUCCAGGGGGCUGCUGGAAAGUGUUUGCUUACUAAAGAUGGUCUCCCAGCAAUUAAACACUAUAUAUCAUUUACAGCAUGAGACUCUCUCCAUCUCACCUGCAGGGAGCAAUAAGGCAAGCCUUGACUUACUGAACACUCCAGUUUUUGAAACAGUAGAUCAACCCCCUAAAGGCUUUUCUGCAUGUUCUUUAGUCAAACAACCACCGGAACCUGUAAAUCUCAGCAUGAAGUCAGAGAAAAGGCUGGCAGCCCUAUGGAGGCUUCUGUAUAACAAAUCUCUGUGCUAUCAGAAUUAUUUAAAACAGCUCAUCAACUCAAAUCCAGCAGAGAAAAUCACCGACAAAGUUAACUGUGAGAAACAAGCUGUAACGUCACUGAUCUGCCAUAUCCAGGCUGAACUUCAGGCUGCAGGACAGCGGCUGUACCAAAGCCUUCAUCUUCUGCCCGUUACUGGGGAAGAAUGUUUCCUGCUUGGAUCCUACAAGGAAUCGGUGGAAUACUGGCAAAGAGCAUUACUAGACAUCAACGCCCAAGGUGGGAGAAGAGCCAGUUUACUGCAGACACGGUAUUGCCUAUCAGUACUCUACUGCCACCUCUAUAACUACAAUCUAAAUGAUGCCCAAGGCAUGUGUGACCAGCUGGUGAGAGGACUGCUGAGGAAAUCCAAUCUGCUUACAGAGGCACCCGAGGACCUUGAGCAGCAGCUGUUGGAUGAUCUUCACCCUGAAGCCGCAUUGGCUGUGAUCCAGUCUAUGGGCAGAUUCAUGGCAGCAUACUUCACUAACCAGCUGCUCUAUGUCUUCCCUCCACACAACGUCCGCACAUUGCUUCCUCUUCAUAGAGCUCCAGAACAACUUCCCCGAGUGGUUGCUCUGCAGCAAAGCAUGGUUGCCAGUGUGGUUAGAGAGCAGAAUCUCUCAUGCGUUUGGACAGUUGAAUAUUCCCUUGACUUGCUUCUGGUUGGUGGAUUGGUGCCAGAGGCUGUGUGGCUAGCAAAGCAACUCGGAGACUGGAAGACGUCCGUUUCUAUGGGGGUUGCUUAUAACCUGUACAUGGAAAGCAUUCCUGAUGAGAGUGAAAGGAAAGAGUUGUCCUUACCACCGACCCUGUCUCCGGCACAUAUAUUUCAGGAAAAAUUACAGGCAUUUCUGGGGAGACCUCCAAGUCCCACUGCUGCGCCCAAAGAUUACAGCAUGCUAAAAGAAUUUACUGAUCCAAUUGAGGAAGAAGAUGCUGAUCUGCUCUUCAGUUCAUUACAAGAGAUGCUAAAGGCAGCUGUAAUGGCUGAUGCGGAAAUCCUUACAGAGACUCUCCAUCAGCUGAUGGAAUCGGCCAAGGAGCUAAGCAGAAGGCUUGGGGGUUUGGUUCCGGAUAAGCUUUACCUCCCAGCACCCCCUUUGUACUGCCCGCAGCCAGCUUCUGUCAGUGAAGAUGAUCACAGAGAUUUGCUCUUGGAGGCAGAAAAACACACACGGCAGAAGCUUUCCGGAGUUCUUCAGCGGAUUCUUCUGAUUCUGCGGGCAGCUCACUGCUCGGUGCCUGCUGCUCAGUGGUAUAUUAAGCAGUUAAAGCGUGCCAGAAAAUUCAUGCAAAAGAUUCGUGCUAAAAGCUCUCUUCCUCCACUAAAUGCUCUCCCUGAGUCCCUGCUGAAUUACUCCAACAGCAGCAAAGUGUUUAUUCAGCCCAGUGCCGGCAGUGACCAUCGAAAUGACCAUGUUUCCGCUAGCAUCGUAGGCUGCUUUAGGGAACUGUGUGCCUUAUGUUGGAUGCUCCACGCACGGGAGCGACUGUCUUUCAGCUGCAGACAAUACCAGAAAGCAAGGGAUAAUGGCAAACUAUUUAAGAGUGCAGAUGACUAUGAUUCCUGUGUUACUGAGCGCUGCUUUGAGGCUCUGGAAUGGGCAUGCCGAAUGCUCCCUUUCACCCGCAUUAUAAACUGUGAAGAGCUGAUUCAGGAUAUCAUUCUGAGCCUUGUUAGUGAGCUGCCUCCAGUGAGAAAGGUUGCAGAAAUAUUAGUCAAGGCUUUCCCUCACCCUGAGGAUGUCCGUGUGCAACUCCGGGAGAAAUACCACUCAGUCCAACAACGCCUAAGGCACUCCGUAGUUAAGGGUAUUCAAGGGGACAAAAUGAUGUCUGUGGUUAUUCAUAAUGUUCAGAGAGUGCGUCUCAAAAUGCUAAAGCGUAUACAGAGGAACAUAGGCCCAGUGGAAAUGCACCUAUGGGAAUCUGGCUUGGGAGACACAUCUGACGAGGAGGUACAUUGCUAUGACCAGCUGUCCUUGGGCACCACCCUGAGCAGAAGCACCAUCACCGAUUUUGCUCGUCCUCAAGUUUAUAGCGAUGCCGACACUCUCUCCGAAGCCUUCACGCUUAAUGAUGCAGACGAGCGAAGUGAGUGUCCUAUUGCAGAAGGCUCCGUUGUACAGAAGCCAAGGCGCAGAAAACCAGAUAAAGUACAAGAGAAAACUGAAGUAUCUGCAGAUAAUGUAACUGUUUUCCCUACGGUUGGCACCUGGGAAUUUGAAUGUGAGGAUGAGGAAUACAUUAUUUUCUUGGAGCUGUUUUUGAGUUACCUUCUAGAGAAAGAUCUUCAUUGCAGUGAACCUGGGAUUCCUUUCCUCAGCACCUUCUCCAAUCAUCUUAGAGAAAAUGAGCUAAAUUGUCUCGUGUUCGAUGUCCAUACGACGCUAAAGCGCAGGCUGGGUAAAGCCAAAAUCCAGAGUGUGUUCAGAGCCGGUUGCUCCUAUGCAGUAAAUAAAGAGCCUUGGAAUGACUCAGAGAUGCUACAAGGCACGCCAUUGCCUCAGGCUAACAUGACUGCUGACUUUAUCCCUAAAUUUUCCUCGACUGUCAUUGUAGAAAAGCCAAAAGAAACACCAAAUAAGCUCUUUUACACACCUAAAACAAGACACUCGGGCAAAAGUGGAUUAUUUGGUUUAAAAGAACAAAGAAGGGCACAAUAUGCUAAAGAUGGGAACUUGGUAUCUGCUGUACCACUUACUGUGCCCACCCACAGCCCAUACUGCUACAGAGUUAUACAUACCUCUCCCUUUAAACCCAGUGAAGAGCUUGGAAUGGAGCUGAAAGCCAAAUUUGGCAAUGAGGAGAAGUUAGUGGAGUGGAUGGUUAGGUGGUCAGACAGGAGACUGUUUAGGACAGCUGGUAAAGCAGAUUUACUUCAAGCUCACAGUACUGCUCUCCGGGUCAAAGCCACCUCAGCUGCUAUCCUCACGUCCAUUUGGCUCUUAGAGAAGCCAUACCUGCAAGGUGUCUCCAAACAAAAUGGAAGGAUUGAGGCACCACCGCAAGAAUACACGGUAGCCCCAGCUUUCCAAGAAUCAGAAUUACAAGAGAAAUUCGACUCAGAAUUACAAGAGGAUUCCAGUUUGCAUGUCAGUCACCUGCAGACGGAGGCGGGCUCUCUUCCAGCUGGGGAUGGGUCAGACCAAGUUCUAACAGAGCAAAACCUUUCUGAUGUGAUAAAUACUAGCAAAGAGAGCGUAUCUGGGAGCGACCUUUUCACUGCUGCCAAGGGGGUAUACGUGGAUCACUGUGAGCCAACAAUGGAUACAAGAGGGGACAAUGUGCAUCUGGAUGAAAUUCCAUCACAAACCGAAGCAGAUGAACAAGAUGACCAACUUGACACCCAAAGAAGCCCCAAUAUCUCCAUAUCUAUAAGAACCACCAAGCAUCCUAUGGAGAAACCGCCCAGUGUUGUUGCUGUUACCCUAGAGGAGCCUGAAGCUGAAAACCAGCCACUAAAUCGGAGACCUGACAGAGCCAAGCCAGCCAUGUCCCCUGACAUUGCCCCUGCAGACCCCCAGACCUUCUCCAGUGCAGUGAGGGUUCCUCCUGUAGUCACCAAUACAGAUCAGCAGACUCUGCACCAUGGAGAUCAAGGAGUUCCCAACACAUCAGAAGCCGUCAGGCAGUUAUUCCAAGAUGAGAUGUUCCGGCUCCUGCAGCUUCAGCAACUCAACUUCAUGAGUUUAAUGCAAGUUGUUGGCUCCUCCUUCGCCGCCCUACCAGCCCUGCAUCAGGUUUUGCAGCAGACUGCUCAGAUAGGAGGGAGCCAGAUGGGACAUACAGUGGAAGAGCAAGUUUCUCUGCAGUCCCAAACUGCUAUCCCUACACAGACCCUGCCCCCCAGUAGCCAUUCGGCAGUACGACGGCAAACUGAUUUAGGAGUGGGGAGCCCACCCAGGAGAUGCAGUGCCUCCGGCAGGGAAAACCAUGCAGGGGAGCAGCAAGGAAACAAGGAAAAUGUACAGAACCUUCCAGAGCUGAGCAUUCCCUUGAGACAAGGUAGCAGUGGAGAAGAGACCCCAGCAAAUCAGGGGGUGCAGGCUACAGAACCAAGUCUGCCUCUUCUUUCCUUUCCAGUUGUACAAAUAUCUCCUACCGACCAUCCCACCCCAAGAGCACUGACUGAUCUUAAUGGACUCCCCCUUCUGAAACUACAAACUGAGCCAAAAUUUGUACCCCUCCAUGUCAUUUCGAAUCACACUACCCAAGAGAUCAGAAGGCCUAGAGUUCAUCAUGCUGCCCCUCGAGAAGCCUGGGUUCUUCCUACGCGCAGAAUGAGGGAUGGGGGCCAAGGCACAGAGCAUCGACAGCCCAGUCAGAAUAUAAAAGGCAGGAAGGGGGCUGAAACUGGUCAUAAAGGAAUGUCAGCACCGCGCCAUUGCCAUCGGCAGGCAGGAGUAACUGCACAUUUGCUUAGCCAGAAAGGGCAAGGCAAGGACGCAAGGCGGCAAGAUGUUACAUGGAGACAACAAAAAGUCGAGAUUCCUUUACUUCAGCUGCAGCCGGACCCUGUGCCUUAUUUCCCACCCAUAUUAACACCGGAAAUCAGGGUUCCUGCCGUAUCCUCUCAGCUUAAAGGAAAGUCGGACUUUGUCACUUCGUUACCCCAAGGUCCAAUCACUCUUCUGAAAGCUGAUGCACCCCAAAAGGCACAGGGUUUGCCAAUGAGCUUCACACCCCGGCUUAUCCCUUUGCAAAACCUUACCGGAUAUGAACGAAGCAUAAAGCAAGAGAUGCCAGCCACCGGGGGCGCUGCCCUUCAGCUCCUAAGGGCUAACAUUGAACCUUUCGAAGAAGCUGUGAUGCAUGGAGAUAGCCUUAAAAGACAGAAAAGGCGCUCACGAAAACAGAAAGAUGAAAAACCCGAUGCAAAGAAAGAGAGAAAAGCAUCCGUUACGUUCCGCCCAGAAGAAUCCAUUAUAAACCCAAAUAACUUUGAUGAAGUUGCACAAACUGAGGAUGUACAUGAAGAGGAGCCAGCCGUGCCGGAGGAAAGUGCAUUUGUUCUCCCUCCAGGUUCCUUCGAGUCUCUGCUUUCAAAGCCAAUGCAAAUGAGCUCCAUUCCCAGCGUGGCAGAGCUUCAUUACUUUGCAUCCACCAAAAAGAGACCUCCUGAGGUUCACGAUGCCAGUACUAACACAGAAACUGCUGCUCGGCCCUAUCAGGAUGCGGGAACUGAAUGUAAGGACUUGCCCAGGGAGUUUCCUAUCAGUCAGGCUGUCGCUUUUCCCUCUGCCGCCGGCCUGCGCUCUCCGCUCUCUGAAGUGCCCCAGCCGGCAGAUGUCCCGGUGCAGUUGCCCCCUGAAUUGUUUCUAAAUCUCCGCUUCCCUCUGGAGAAGGUGCAAGAGAGGACCCCGGAUGUGCCCCCCACCCAUGUGGGGCGCCAUUAUAUCAGUGUGACUGAUCUGGAGGCAGAAGAUUUCCCCUAUGAAUUUCCAGAAGAGGCACGACAUGUCGCUGCUCCUGCAGAGAAGGUGGCCAGUUGGAAUACUCCUUCCUCUCCAGACAGGGUUCAGGUGGCCGACUCUACCCCUUCGGAAGCGCUUUCGGGCCGCCUUCACACAACAGACCAUGUUAGAGUAAAAGCACAGGAGCAGCGACUGGAGGACCAGGCAGUCCGUGUGGCCGACCCUGUAACAUACGAGAUGCUGUCUAAUAAGGCUACUCCCACUCCCCCCAAACACUUCCUUCCUAGGCCGUGGACAACUGGAAGUGUGAGGAACCAAGCGCUCUCCAGGCUCCAAGAGAUGGAUGCCCAGUUAGUGGCUUUGCAGGAUAUGGCUGAUGGAAUGGAGAGGGAUUUUGCCAAUACUGCAUUGUUGGUGAAAACAAUAGAAACCCUUGCAAAUGCCAGUGAGCCCAACCCAGAGAGUGCUUCACAUUCUUCUAAAAGAUCUGAAAUUAAAGCAAAUGCUCCUCGGAUGGAAAUAGACAAAAUCAGUGAGGAGGAUGAGGAAGAGUUUGCACUGGCAGACAUUGCCGGCAUUGGUUCAUUUCCUUGUACCCCUGCUGUCCGUAUUUCUUGGGAAGAUCUGCCCUACGAGGGCCGCCCUGCCUCUGGGCCAGCAGAGAACAUGAGGGUGGAUAAAGGCCAUCAAGACGACCCCCUGCACAUGACGGGGCUGAGUGACAUUGCCGAUAUACUGAGUGACCUUAUGAAAGGAGGAGUUUCUGCUUCGGAACUUGGACUGACAGAGACCCAGGCUACAUCCCUCUCCAGGGUAAGACCUCAGAGUGCACCAUCGAGGCCCGGAUCUAAACGAACAGAGGAGGAGAGACUGGAGCUGCAGAACUGGAUGAGGAAAAAGCAGAGAGAGAGACUGACUGUGCAUAAGAGACAGCUGGAAGAACUGAGAGCGAUGGAACACAGGCCGUACCAGCCGGCAAGAGAUGCAAACACUUCAGUCUCAUCAAGAACAAUCCUGCGGCACCAGAGGCUGAAAGAUGAGAGAGAUAAGUCCCUGCUAUCUGAGCAUCAUGGUCACCGCGUGUCUCAGGCUCUGGGCCUUAUGCAGGAGAUGCUAUCGGAAGCCCAACAUGUCCCGGCUGUCCCCUCAAGUCCCUCAGCCUCCAGAUUGCAAAAACAGCGCUCGUCUCCUGGCGGACAUUCGGCUGCCACUCGUAGCUCCCCUGCAAGCCACGUGGGCCGGCACAGACCCCUUUCCAGGACUGUUGUUCCGAGGGAAAGGCCGCUGUCUACACCUUCUCGCCUGCAGUCAAGAGGAACGGAAACAUUCGUAAAGCAGAGAAGCCCCUCGCAUCCCAAGAGCAGAGCUAGAAGUGCCCCCAGCUAUCCAGUUCAUUUAAAGUUUGACAAGUUGUUACCUGGGGACCGAAUGUCCCAAGUCACACGCAGAGGGCUACUAACUGCCAAGAACAAACCACGUGUACAAAGUGGCACCAAAGCCGCUGCAAGGCAUCCUGGGUCAGCACGCCAAGAGGGGAGGGGCAGCAGCUUCCAGAAGGGGAGGAGCCAGCCUGAUCAUCAAGAUCCGGAGUUUGAAAUGGAGAGGGACGUGGUGAGUCCUUGGGAACUUCCUGAAGAAAUCAGCAACAUAUUGAAGAGGUCCAGUACCCUCUCCCAGGGAUCACUGAAUGGAGAUGGCAGCUCCCGAAACCUUUCCAAAGUGGACGGCCUAUCAGUGAGUACGAGCAGCUUGCUCAGCAAACUGGACUGGAACGCCAUCGAGGAUAUGGUGGCCGGUGUGGAUGAGACGUGAGCAGGUUCUGAGUGGAAGCUCUGCAUACCGUGAGAAGAGAAAUGGCUGCUGGCAGUGUGCCCCCCCCCCCCCCCCCCCCCCCCCCCCCCAAUGUGCCCUGCCCAGUGUGCCUUAGGGGGACAUGCAGCUCAGGCAGGGUGGGUCUCCGUGUAUAACCCAGUGCCGGCCGGCAUCCAUUUAUCUGCCCUGGCUGUGUCUUUCCAAGGACUAAAUUCUCCUGCUCGCUGUUACCUUGACAUGACUGUUUGUAUAGACAAAGCCUUAUUUUUCUAUUAGUUUGUUUUAAAAUAUAUAUAUAUAUUUAUUUUUGUUAUUUUCCAUUCAUAUGAAAUUGAUAUUUAUCAUGUAAAUAUUGUUCUAAAAUGGGUUUCCUGUUUAAUAAAACAUAAAUGCAAUUUUUUAUUA